CCGCAGGUGGUUUUGCACGUCGGGGGUUAAAUGUACGAGCUCAACUCGUACACCGCUCUCGAUACGACAAAACUAGAGACUGGGAGAGGUAAGCGGAAUUACAGGUGUAGUAGUAAUAUGCGUUAAUAUCUGUAAGAACACCAAAUGCGUAGGCAGCUUACUGGAACAGUUCUGACACUCAGGGACGAAAGCGUGGGUAGCGAAAGGGAUUAGAUACCCCUGUAGUCCACGCCCUAAACGAUGGAUGCUAGAUAUUGGGAGUAUCGACCCUCCCAGUGUCGGUUAAAAAAGCUAACGCAUUAAGCAUCCCGCCUGGGGAGUACGGUCGCAAGGCUAAAACUCAAAGGAAUAGACGGGGACCCGCACAAGCGGAGGAGCAUGUGGUUUAAUUCGACGGUAAGCGAGGAACCUUACCUAGGUUUGAAAUGUAGCUGCAAGCCGGUGGAAACAUUGGCCGCCUUCGAGGGUGCUACACAGGUGCUGCAUGGUUGCCGUCAGCUCGUGUCGUGAGAUGUACCGUUAAGUCGGAUAACGAGCGCAACCCCUGUCCCGUGUUGAAUAUUCACGGGAUACUGCCUCGGAUAACGGGGAGGAAGGUGGGGAUGACGUCAAAUCAGCAUGGCUCUUACAUCUAGGGCUACACACGUGCUACAAUGGUCAGGACAAUGGGUUGCCAAACCGUAAGGUGGAGCUAAUCCCAACAAACCUGGCCUCAGUUCGGAUUGAGGGCUGAAAUUCGCCCUCAUGAAGUUGGAUUCGCUAGUAACGGCCGAUCAGCCACGCGGCCGUGAAUACGUUCUCGGGUCUUGUACUCACCGCCCGUCAAGUCAAGAGAGUUGCAAAUGCCCGAAGGCUCCCGAUGAGGGGACGAAGGUAGAGGCAGCGAUAGGGACUAAGUCGUAACAAGGUAA
rnacentral:rRNA from 1 species